UACGGAGGAUGCAAGCGUUAUCCGGAAUGAUUGGGCGUAAAGCGUCCGCAGGUGGCUGUGUAAGUCUGCUGUCAAAGAGCAAAGCUCAACUUUGUAAAGGCAGUGGAAACUACACGGCUAGAGUGCGUUCGGGGCGAGAGGGAAGUUCCUGGUGUAGCGGUGAAAUGCGUAGAGAUCAGGAAGAACACCGGUGGCGAAGGCGCUCGUGCUAAGGCCGCGAAC
rnacentral:rRNA from 1 species